rnacentral:tRNA from 1 species
GAGGGUAGAGCUCAGUGGUAAAUUACAUGCUUAGCAAGCAUGAGGUCCUGGGUUCAAUCCCCAGUACCUCUG